UGUAACAAGGUUUCCGCCUAAGAUCAUUA
rnacentral:rRNA from 1 species